rnacentral:rRNA from 1 species
UACGGAGGGUGCAAGCGUUGUUCGGAAUCACUGGGCGUAAAGGGCGUGUAGGCGGUCCGCUAAGUCUGAUGUGAAAGCCCGGGGCUCACCCCCGGAAGGGCAUUGGAAACUGGCGGACUCGAGUCCCGGAGAGGAAGGUGGAAUUCCUGGUGUAGCGGUGAAAUGCGUAGAUAUCAGGAGGAAUGCCGGUGGCGAAGGCGGCCUUCUGGACGGUGACUGACGCUGAGACGCGAAAGCGUGGGGAGCAAACAGG